GACGAACGCUGGCGGCGUGCCUAAUACAUGCAAGUUGAGCGCUGAAGGUUGGUACUUGUACCAACUGGAUGAGCAGCGAACGGGUGAGUAACGCGUGGGGAAUCUGCCUUUGAGCGGGGGACAACAUUUGGAAACGAAUGCUAAUACCGCAUAAAAACUUUAAACACAAGUUUUAAGUUUGAAAGAUGCAAUUGCAUCACUCAAAGAUGAUCCCGCGUUGUAUUAGCUAGUUGGUGAGGUAAAGGCUCACCAAAGCGAUGAUACAUAGCCGACCUGAGAGGGUGAUCGGCCACAUUGGGACUGAGACACGGCCCAAACUCCUACGGGAGGCAGCAGUAGGGAAUCUUCGGCGAUGGACGAAAGUCUGACCGAGCAACGCCGCGUGAGUGAAGAAGGUUUUCGGAUCGUAAAACUCUGUUGGUAGAGAAGAACGUUGGUGAGAGUGGAAAGCUCAUCAAGUGACGGUAACUACCCAGAAAGGGACGGCUAACUACGUG
rnacentral:rRNA from 1 species